UACAAAAUAUGAGACAAAGUCUUCAAAAAGUCUGCUAAGGUCAUUUAAAAUACAAUGUAAGAGGCUAGAUGCAGAGAAGUUCUCACUUGUAGCUAAAACCAGUCUAGACGGCACCUCCUAUAGUUUAACAGAUGUGGAGGGAAAUCCUUGAUCUUCCUGACCGCUUAAUGCUACUAUGCGUUGUUGUAAUUUUGACUGCUGUAUUAAAAUGUCCCACUAGUGUAUACGUGUGUUCUUGGUGACUUGAGAUCCAUGUUCUUUGGUCCAAACAAAUUCACCAACC
rnacentral:lncRNA from 1 species